GUUUCCUACGGGACGCAGCAGUGAGGAAUAUUGGUCAAUGGGCGCGAGCCUGAACCAGCCAAGUCGCGUGAGGGAAGACGGUCCUAUGGAUUGUAAACCUCUUUUGUCGGGGAGCAAAAGACGCCACGCGUGGCGUUCCGAGAGUACCCGAAGAAAAAGCAUCGGCUAACUCCGUGCCAGCAGCCGCGGUAAUACGGAGGAUGCGAGCGUUAUCCGGAUUUAUUGGGUUUAAAGGGUGCGUAGGCGGAAGAUCAAGUCAGCGGUAAAAUUGAGAGGCUAAACAUCUUCGAGUCGUUGAAAGUGGU
rnacentral:rRNA from 1 species